GACGGAGGAUGCAAGUGUUAUCCGGAAUCACUGGGCGUAAAGCGUCUGUAGGUGGUUUAAUAAGUCCACUGUUAAAGAUUGAAGCUUAACUUCAAAAAUGCCGUGGAAACUUUUAAACUUGAGUAUGAUAGGGGUAGAGGGAAUUUCCAGUGGAGCGGUGAAAUGCGUAGAUAUUGGAAAGACCACCAAUGGCGAAGGCACUCUACUGGGCCAUUACUGACACUGAGAGACGAAAGCUAGGGGAGCAAAUGGG
rnacentral:rRNA from 1 species